rnacentral:rRNA from 1 species
GAACUUUCCAGAGAUGGAUUGGUGCCUUCGGGAACUCUGAGACAGGUGCUGCAUGGCUGUCGUCAGCUCGUGUUGUGAAAUGUUGGGUUAAGUCCCGCAACGAGCGCAACCCUUAUCCUUUGUUGCCAGCGGUUAGGCCGGGAACUCAAAGGAGACUGCCAGUGAUAAACUGGAGGAAGGUGGGGAUGACGUCAAGUCAUCAUGGCCCUUACGAGUAGGGCUACACACGUGCUACAAUGGCGCAUACAAAGAGAAGCGACCUCGCGAGAGCAAGCGGACCUCAUAAAGUGCGUCGUAGUCCGGAUUGGAGUCUGCAACUCGACUCCAUGAAGUCGGAAUCGCUAGUAAUCGUGGAUCAGAAUGCCACGGUGAAUACGUUCCCGGGCCUUGUACACACCGCCCGUCACACCAUGGGAGCGGGUUGCAAAAGAAGUAGGUAGCUUAACCUUCGGGAGGGCGCUUACCACUUUGUGAUUCAUGACUGGGGUGAAGUCGUAACAAGGUAGGCGUAGAUGA